rnacentral:rRNA from 1 species
AUUGACCUCUGGCGGCAGGCCUAACACAUUCAAGUCGAGCGAGUGGCGGACGGGUGAGUAAUGUCUGGGAAACUGCCUGAUGGAGGGGGAUAACUACUGGAAACGGUAGCUAAUACCGCAUACCAUCAGAUGUGCCCAGAUGGGAUUAGCUAGUUGGUGGGGUAACGGCUCACCUAGGCGACGAUCCCUAGCUGGUCUGAGAGGAUGACCAGCAACACUGGAACUGAGACACGGUCCAGACUCCUACGGGAGGCAGCAGUGGGGAAUAUUGCACAAUGGGCGCAAGCCUGAUGCAGCCAUGCAGCGUGUAUGAAGAAGGCCUUCGGGUUGUAAAGUACUUUCAGCGGGGAGGCGUUACGCGCAGAAGAAGCACCGGCUAACUCCGUGCAAGCCGCCGCGGUAAUUC